rnacentral:pre_miRNA from 14 species
UGAGUGCAGAGCUCAUUACCUGCUUUGGGUAGGCAGUGUAGUUUUAGCUGGCUGCUUGCUAUUAACUCCAGCAGUCGCUAAUACUCUGCCACCGGCAGCAGGGAAAGGCAUCAGCCACUGCAC